rnacentral:rRNA from 1 species
GAUGAACGCUAGCUACAGGCUUAACACAUGCAAGUCGAGGGGUAACAAGAGAAAAGCUUGCUUUUCUUGUUGACGACCGGCGCACGGGUGAGUAACGCGUAUCCAACCUGCCUAUAACUAGGGAAUAACCUUGCGAAAGUAAGACUAAUACCCUAUGAUUUCCUUUGAUGACAUCAGAUUAGGAAUAAAGAUUUAUCGGUUAUAGAUGGGGAUGCGUCUGAUUAGCUUGUUGGCGGGGUAACGGCCCACCAAGGCAACGAUCAGUAGGGGUUCUGAGAGGAAGGUCCCCCACAUUGGAACUGAGACACGGUCCAAACUCCUACGGGAGGCAGCAGUGAGGAAUAUUGGUCAAUGGGCGGAAGCCUGAACCAGCCAAGUAGCGUGCAGGAUGACGGCCCUAUGGGUUGUAAACUGCUUUUAUACAGGAAUAAAGUUAGCCACGUGUGGUUAUUUGUAGGUACUGUAUGAAUAAGGACCGGCUAAUUCCGUGCCAGCAGCAGCCGCCG